CAUCGACGGGUUCGCCUCGGUUCUGCAGUCAGCUCUGAAUUCCUGGUACAACUUACAAGCUUUACUUGACUGGUCUCAUCCUCUGCUGACUUGCGUCGUGCUAACUAUUUUCUUUUUCUGCAUCUCCUACGACUGGUGGCUGUCUGCAGCACUAGUGUUGAUACUGGCAAGACUCACACUGAACUACCUCAUAGUGAUGCGUUGGCGGGAACGAGUGGAUAAUUUGAAAUCCAAAAUUCUGCAGUCGAUGAAAAAUUUCGCAGUUUCCGUCGUCUCCGCAAUGAGGUCAACCAUGCAUGUUUUUCGGCAGGUUGUGUUAAAGCUAUCAGUUCUUAGGUUGAGCUUUGGAUUCUAUAGGAAAUCAAAACUUUUGGAUACCAUCAGUGAAGAAAUGCCAGAAAUUUUAGAAGAAAAUGAUACAGAGGAAAUGGCCAUGUCGCCUAAAGCAUGGGGACUGAAGAAGGCAAGUAGAACAGAGGAACAUUGGAAAAAAUUGAAGAAAGAAAAGCUGGAGACAUCCAAGAAGCUUGCUGGAGGCAGGGAAAAAGAUUGUAAAUUGACCGCUAAAGAUCAGAAAGAAGGCAAGAAUAGCGAGAACGGCAAGGCGGAGGGGAUUGGUGAUAAGAUUGUUUUCCUACUCCAGGUUGCGAAGAGAGCGCAGAACAUUUUGGGAGCCACCGUGUCCUUUGCCGAAUCGUUGAACAAACUUGUGAGCUGGGAGCACAGACUGAGCUGGGUGCUGUACUG